AAUCAACUCAAAAUGCAAUGAACUUAUGCGUAAAUGAUGCACAAAUGUAUGUAUAUAUUUGACACAUCAACGUGUUUGGAAAAACUCUAGCCUCUAAAUUGCGUAAUGAUCUUCAAUUUGGUAUUAUCAUCAACUAUAACUAUGAAUUUGAAAGGAAUAUCCUAUGAAACUGGCAGUGGGUUGUUGCUCUUUCCGUACAUAAGUUAAGCAUGGCCGCAGUAAAUUUAUGGAAGUUUUGAACAUUAUGCAACAAAGAGGCUUUUGUUUGUCUAGACAUGUGUCUUUGAUUUAACUUCUGUACGUGUUCUCUUUGCUUUGUGCAAGUUCGUCAUUUUCUUUUUUGCAUUGCUUACAUGUUGAUGUCUUGGACGGUGUAAAUGGUACAAUUCUUGGUCGUGCAAAUUUUUGUGCCUCUUUUUUGUGGGUUCCCAUGAACAGCUUGAUCUGUGCUUGAAGCAUAAAUUCUGGUGUCUGUAAUUUGACUUAAGAACUAGUUCUGAAAAAUAUGGCUCAUGUGGGGGAAUGAUUUUUUAUAUGCUCUAUGAUGUGUUUGGAAAAACUCUAGCCUCUAAAUUGCAUAAUGAUCUUCAAUUUGGUGUUAUCAUCAAGUAUAAUAUGAAUUUGAAAGGAAUAACUUAUGAAAUUGGCAGUGGGUUGUUGCCCUUUCCGUACAUAAGUUAAGCAUGGCCCCAGUAAAUUUAUUGAAGUUUUGAACUUGUGCAAUAAAAGAGGCUUUUGUUGGUUUGGACAUGUGUUGUCAGGCGGAACUUCUGUACGUGUUCCGCUAUGCGCAAUUUUGACUCUUUUUUUGGCUUUGUUUAUAUGUGGAAGUCUUGGACGGUGUACUCAAUACAAUUCUUGGUCAAGUGUAAUUUUAUGUGGUUUUUUGUGGGUUCCUAUGAACAGCUUAAUGCUUAAUCUAGUGCUUUAGCUGGAAAAUCUGGUGUAUGUAAUUUGAAUUGGGACAUAAUUGUGGAACAUUAUGCAAUAGCAGUGGCUUUUGUUUGUCUAGACAUAUUUUGUUGGGUAGAACUUCUGUACACACUGAGCUUGCUCUAUAAGAUAUCCUUUUGUUUAUGCUAUUGUGUUGGAUUCUCUCAUCGUCCUGCCAGAAUCAUCUACGCAUCUUCCGGUUAUCUUAUUCUCACGAUCGAUUUGGGUAUCUCUCUGUUGGGAUUUCUGUAAACGAGAAUGAUUCUGGUAAUACGAAUGGGGUUUCUUUACGGAUGAAUGCAGUUUCUCAUCUCUCAGUUCAUUGGGUUAUCCGUUUUUAAGUUUUGGUUCAUUGGAGAAGGGUGUUUCUGUUAUUCUCUUGGCUGCAGGAAAGGGCAAAAGAAUGGGUGUAAGUCUCCUUACUUUGUUUGGAGUUCUUUUAUUCAUGUAUGAAGAACACUACUUCUUCCAGUUAUCCUUUUCAGAGGUGUCAUCUUAUAGCUUUGCAAAGAUUCAAUAUUCGUAGUUUUUUUGUAGUUGAUUAUAGGAUAUACUGUCAUAUUCUUGUUGGCUUUGUUCAUACAUUGUACAAGAGAAGAAAAGUUAAUUGCUUCACAUCUCUGAUUCAAUUUGGUGGAUCUUAUUUGACAUUGUUACCUGCUUGACAUCCUUUUGUUGAUAUUUUCAGCAUAUCAAGGGCAAACAUUAGCAAUUUUUUUGAGAAAUGUUUGAGAUUCCUAAUUCCUAUUGCUGUAACAGUUCCUACUUGGAAAGUACUUCAGUUAAAAAUAAAACUGAUUACGUAUGCUUUGGUAAGACGCAUAAUUGCCUAUGCUUCAUUUCUACAUAAAAUGUCGAAGUGCAGUUCAGGGAGAUUUCUGAUGACUGUUGCUGCAGAAGCGCGUGAGAGAGAUUGAGCUUUUACUGUCACUCUGUCAGCAAUGCCCAGGAGCGAUUCCGCAACAUGUGCUUGACUGUAUCCAAUAUUUCCCCCCUAAUUUUGUAAUCCUUUUACUUUGGCAUCUCUUCUUCUUUUCUUUAGAAAUUCUGUCUGUUUCUCGCUUUUUGAGUUAUUGUUUGUGACAAAUUUGAAUACUUGUAGCUUAGGAUGAUUUGAGAAAAAGUAUUUGAAUAUCGUUCUUCAAUCUUCACAAGUAAGGUUCUUGUAUAUUGAGAAUAUUUUGCUGGGAGUUGAGUUUCAGGAGUGAAUCGUCUGAGGCAGUGGGAGAGCGACUCAAAUUUUCAGUUGUGUAAGUUCUUUAUAGUCUAAUAGUCUGCACAUUUUUCUUUUUCUUUUUCUUUUUCAAUUCCAUGGGCAUAUGCAUAAGCGCUAACUUAGAAUUAUAUUUUUCUGUGCCAAUUGCCAUGGCUAAUGUAUUUCUUUUGACACUCAUGACCCCAAGGGGCAUUCUUCAGUGAUAAUCUCCUUUCCGGUGAAGAGAAUGGAAGUUAUUGAGAUUGUCACCCUCCCACGAUAUUGUCUUUACUCUUGCACAUUCUGGUGUUUGUGUAGCUUUUAGUAGAGGAUCUCUAAACUACAGGGAAAAGGCUAUAAAUGAAUGACAACCCAUGUAAUUUCACAUGUUAAGCAUGUGCAUGAUGCAUGAUGAUACAUGAGUAAGGUCAGACAUGAGACAUCCCUAUUUCAAUGACUAUUAAGAGUAGUCUCCAGGAAAAUACAGGGUUUUUGAAGUCUUUAUAGUAAGUUUGAAUCUUUUGGACCUUGCUGGAAGUGAACGAACAUCUCAAAGAAAUGCAGAUGGUACGAGGCUGAAGGAAGGCAAUCAUAUGAAUCAUAGCUUGUUAACUCUUACAACAGUUAUCAGAAAACUAAGGAAAUUGUUGGUCUAGAAAGGAUGGUUGGGAACUCAGCCACACUUAUGUCUUAGAUGCAGAGGACUCUUUCAUCCACUUCAGGAGGUACAAAGGUAAGUGAAUAGAAGUACUAGUCGUUGUGCGUGUCAGGCCAUUAAGUUGGAGAGAACAAGUAUUGUAUGAUCUUAUAGCUUGGGACUUCCCAGAUGACCAAACUAUUGUUUCAAGUAUCCCAAUAAAAAGUGUCUGGCAACUGCGUACACCUUUGGUAAGUUUUCAUGAAUUCUUGUAUUCUUAGCCUCUUUAAGAUCAACGUGUCAGGCAACUGCAUACACCUUUGGUAAGUUUUCAUGAAUUCUUGUAUUAUCAGCCUCUCUAAUAUCGAGUAGCGCUACAACUAAAUGGAUCAGUACUUAUUUAACAAUGCACGCAUCAUGGAGUUUUCUUUAGGAAAGUGGUGGUGUUGAUUUUCACUUACAUGUGACAGAUAAAGUUUUUGACCGAACAUCUUCGACUCAAAAGGUUUAUGGAAGGGCUAACUAUGUAUCUCUUUCGGCCCUUAUGGGAAUCAACCGUGAAAUAUUUUCGUACAAUUUCUUUCCUGAGCACGAUUAUUUUUUUAGGGGGAAUUUUUUGAGUGAUAUUUCAUAUGGCCGGACUAGUAGCGGUAAUACAUUUAACAUGAGAGGGAUCACUGAAAAUGCUAUAAAAGAUAUCUAUGAGCAUAUUCAAAAAGUAAGUGCUCCAUUCUUGUUUAUCCUAAUGCUUCACUGGAUAUUGCUCAGAUUGUCUUCGGGUGAUGGAAAAAAUAUUGAUAUGAGAUAGAGAUUAGGAAGCAACCGUUUUUGAACUGAGGAUAAGGAUAAAGCACUUGUACCCACUUGCAGGACCAUGUUGCCAAUACGAUCUCAAACAGCGUUAAAUCAUUCAAUUUGGUCUUAUCGUCGACCAUAACUAUAAUUUGAAAGGAAUAUCCUAUAAAACUGGCAAUGGGUUGUUGCCCUUUGCGUGCAUAGUUUAAGCAUGACCACAGUGAAUUUAUGGAAGUUUUGAAGGUUACACAAUAAAAGGCUUUUGUUUAUCUAGAUGUGUGUUAUUGGGCGGACCUUCUAUAUUGAUCUCUUUGUUACGCGCGAAUUUAGCUUCUUUUUUACAUUGUUUACAUGUGGAAAUCUUGGACAGUGUACUCUAAAAUUUUGGUUGUCCAACUAUAGUUUUAUGCAUUUUUUGUGGGUUCCUAUGAACAACUUAAUGUUGUGCUUUAACUAGAAAAUCUGGUGUCUAUAAUUUGAAUUUGGAACUAGUUCACAAAAAUAUGCUUCAUAUGGGAGAUGAUUUUGGAUUUGCUCAAUGGCAUACGCUUAUACGAACAUUAGCCUCUUUAUUGCAUAAUGAUUUUCAAUUUGGUCGUAACAACCAUAGCUUGAAAGGAAUAUCUUAUAAAACUGCAAUGGGUGGUUGCCCUUUGAUUGCAUAAGUUUAAGCAUGGCCACAAUACAUUUAUGGAAGUUUUGAACAUUAUGCAAUAAAGGAGGCUUUUGUUUGUCAAGACAUGUGUUGUUGGGCAGAGCUUGUUUCAUGCUCUUUGCUUUGCGCAAAUUUCUUUUUUGCGUUGUUUACUUGUGGAAGUCUUGGAAAGUGUAUUCGGUACAAUUUUUUGGUCAUGCAAGUGUAUUUUUAUUCAUUUUUCAUGUGGGUUUCCGUGAAUGCUUAAUGUGGUGCUUUAGCUGGAAAAUCUAGUGUCCGUAAUUUGAAUUGGUAACUAGUCCACAAAAAUAUUGUUCAUCUAGUCGAUGAUUUUGGAUUUGCUCAAUGGCGUAUGCUUGGAUAAACUAUAGCCUCUUUAUUGCAUAAUGAUCUUCAAUUUGGUUUUAUCAUCGACCAUAACUAUGAUUUGAAAGGAAUAUCCUAUGAAACUGGGAAUGGGUUGUUGCCCUUUGUGUGCACAGUUUAAACAUGCCCACAAUGAAUUUAUGGAAGUUGUGAAGGUUACACAAUAAAAGAGGCUCUUGUACUUGUUCUCUUUGCUAUGCUCAAAUUUGACUCUUUUUUUUUUGUGUACAUGUGGAAGUCUUGAAUGGUGUAAACGGUACAAUUCUUGGUUGUACGAUUUUUUGUGCGUACCGAUGAACAACUUGAUGCUAUGUUUGAGAUGGAAAAUCUGAAUUGCAUGAAUUUCAGUUUUUUCCUUCAGUUUGGAAGUGAUCACUAGGGACAGGAAACUAUUUUUGGUUUCACUGUACUUCCUUAUAUGGGGUGAAGCUGUGAAUGUUAGUUUCCUUCAUGAAUACUUUUGCUACAUUUCUCACCAUGCAAGCAGGCAAUUGGAUCAUAUCAUUAAAUUGAGUUUCUGUUUAAUUGAUUCAUUAUUUCUAAUACUGAAUGAUGACUGCUAUUUCUUUUCUUAUUAUGUUUAGCAUCUCUUCUUCUUUUUACUAUGUUGAUUUAUAAGAGUUCACCUACUGUGUAAAGUGCAUGAUUGGGUUCACACAAUAUAUAUUCUCUGAAACAUGAAGACCUUCUCGCAACUUUUUUGAAUUCCGUUUCUGGCAAAAUGAAGGGAUGUUGUUGAAGUGGUCCUUGGGUUAAUUGUCACUCUGUUCAUAUUUAAUGCAUUGAUGCAUGUAAGAAAUUAUUUGUGGAAACAAAAAUGCUAUUAUUACUCUUCAUAGUUGUCUGAAAAAUAGCCAUGUGAAAUUGGAAGAUUGACAGAUAUAGAGUUGCAGAGAUGUGGAGGAGGAGGUCCUUGAGAGGUGAAAUGGAUGAAAGUUCACUGGGAUUAGCCUUGUCUGUAACUUUGCAAGUCGGUUUUAUUUAACUGGCUAGGCGCCAGUUCUGGCCAUUAAACUGAUUCGGUCCAUAGAUUUAUCUGUCUGGCCAUGCUGUUUGGUCGACAUUUGUAUAUGGUUGGACUCACACAUCAAGAUCCUUAUGCAUUGUAUAUGGUUGGACUGGGUUAUGUUGAUAUGGUGUGAAGUUGAAGGGAGAAAUUCAAAUGUUUGCAUUAGAGAGAUUGAGAUAUCUCACCAACCUAACUUUAUCUUCUCUCGGUACACCCUUUAAAUAUUUAACUGGCGGAGGUUGCAGGAAUGAAGGAAAUGGCAGGCUCCGACAUGACAUGGUUGCCAUGAUCGACAGUUUUGAGAACACCUCUUUGGCGUUGAAAUCGAGUGACUAAAAAGGGUUUGAUACCUUAUUAAGUGACCCGAAAUAAGGUUCGGUGUUUGGGCAUGAAAGUGUUUGAUACCCCAAGCUCCGAUACCAUGAAAUUGUUUUGAAGAUGGACCAGGGAAGAAGAAGAAAAGCUAUAGUUUCAUAGAUGAAAUCACUUAACAUACAAAGUUGAAAAACAUCAAGCUAUACGUACAUGACUGCAACUCCCAUCGAUCAUUGAGACCUGAACAAUUUGAAAAGGUCACUUCGCUUCAACGUGCAGAAGUAAAAAACGAUGUCGCUAGAGAUGUGCUACUAUGAAUAUAACCGAAUUUGCUCUCUCAGAUCACAAAGCUCAAUACAGCGCGCGCACAAAUAUAGCUUAAUCAAAUCCACUAUGGCGGAAUCUUCGGGGACGACGCUGAUGGAUCUGAUAACGGCAGAUCCGACGCCGGCACCAACGGGAUCAGCGCAGACUCCUCCGGCUCCCUCCACUUCGUUGGCGCAGCAGCUUUCUCCGCAGCCGGCGACGGUCUCAGGGAAGACGACGCUGAGGCAGAGGAGAUCGAAGCGAGCCACUCUCAUGCAAAUCCAAAACGAAACCAUUUUGGCUGCCAAAGCUGCUCUCAACCCGUUAGAACUGACGUCAGGCCCCGAAAACAGAAGAAAAAGGUCACAUGAACGUUUCAAAUUGUCAUUUUCGGCUCACAGUAUGUAUUUGCUUUGCUGUACACUUUAACUGAGGGUGCAAUUUCGUUUGUCCGCAGCCGGUUUCACACUCGCAACUAGCCAGGAGUAUUCAUAAGUUGGCGGCCACUUCUGAUCACGUAAAAUAGGUGCUUCUGCUGGAAUAUUGGGUGUCUUUGGUGAAUGAUGUCUCUAUUUGGAAUUGGAGAGUUUGGAAUUGAGCAAUCUCGGAAUUUGCGUAAUUUUCUAUGUGGUGUUUUUUUGAGAAUAGAAAAUUUCUCAGAAGCAGUUGGUGCAUCACGUGUUUCCUAAACUGGCCGUGUACAACUCUGUGGAUCCAUCUUUGGCACCAUCUCUUCUCAUGGUAUGUGCAAUUGCUUAAUCAGCAGUGUGAAGAUAGGAGUUUCCUAUGCUAUGUCUAUUAUUACUUGGCCAGAAUUCUGGGAGACACAGGUGCCCAAGGUUUAAGUCAGGAGGUGGGAUCCCCACUCCAAAUUGGGAUGCUCUGGUUGGAAUUGAUGUUGUUGGAGGGGUUACGAGAGCUGAUGUCGUUCCAAGAAUUGUACAUCAGCUUUCGGCAGAAGCUAUGAAUCCUGAUGUUGAAUGUAAGGUGCUUUGUCUUUUCACUUGAUAUUUGGGUCAUGUUUUCUGAUUGUGGCUUGAAUUGCAAAUGUCUUUUCACCUAAACAGAUGCUCCAGAGGUUGAGGAGGAGAAUAUUGUUGCUAGGCCUUCAGUUAGGCUAGUUUAUUAUAAGUUGUGAAAUGUUUUUUAAUUUUUUAUUAAUAUUUAUAAGUAUAAUUUAUUAUA